UGUGGUUAGCGGUGAAAUGCCAAUCGAACCCGGAGAUAGCUGGUUCUCCUCGAAACAGUUUUAGGACUGGCGUCGCGUAGUAGCACGUGGGGGUAGAGCUCUGUAAAGGACUGGAGGGAGCAAUCUUAUCCACCCUUAACAAACUACGAAUACCAUGUGUGUAAGCGCGGCAGUUAGAACGGCGGAGCUAAGUUCGUCGCUCAAAAGGGAAAGAGCCCAGACCAACAGCUAAGGUCCCUAAAUUUACGUUAAGUGGGAAACAAGGUGAGAUUUCUUAAACAGCUAGGAUGUUGGCUUAGAAGCAGCCAUUCAUUUAAAGAGUGCGUAACAGCUCACUAGUCAAGAGAUCUUGCGUGGAAAAUGUAACGGGGCUAAACGUAAUACCGAAGCUUUGGAUUUGCAAUUUAUUGCAAGUGGUAGAGGAGCGUUCCUAUCUGCGGUGAAGCAGUUUUGGAAAGAAUUGUGGAGCGUUAGGAAGUGAGAAUGCUGGAAUGAGUAACCAUAAGAUAGGUGAGAAUCCUGUCGGCCGUAAGAGCAAGGUUUCCUGAGCCAUGGUAAUCAUCUCAGGGUUAGUCGGGCCUAAGCCGAGGCGCAUAGCGUAGGCGAUGGACAUCAGGUUAAUAUUCCUGAACCGGUUAAGUUUUGUACACUGUUCACGGAGAGAUAUUUAGAGCGGAUUCAUGGUUUUUAUCCGUCCAACCGAGGGGGAACCCAAAGGGAGUGAAAGUUACCUUUUAGGUGACGAUUCUGAAAAAGGCUCUGGCUAGAAAAGCAGAUGUACGUAUGGACUUAGCCGCCCGUACCGCAAACCAACACAGGUGCUCGAGUCGAGUAGACUCAGGCUUACGAGAGAACCCUCGCUAAGGAACUCGGCAAUACAGCGACCGUAACUUCGGAAUAAGGUCUGCCCCCCAUUUCGGUGGGUAUAUUGUCAGGUUUAAGCGAAUGAAUAGAGAACGGUUAAAUUAAAUGAGUAUACCUUUUAUAAUUUUAACGAAACUUCUUACUGAGAUAGUCAACAAGAUUAAAUUCUAAGCUUAAAACUGAGACUCAAUGUAUCUAACGAUAUGGGGGGCCGCAGCUAAAGAGCCCACGGAACUGUUUAUCAAAAACACAGCUCUCUGCUAACACGAAAGUGGAUGUAUAGGGGGUGACUCCUGCCCGGUGCUGGAAGGUUAAGGGGAGUGCUUCACGGUACGAACUGAAGCCCCAGUGAACGGCGGCGGUAACUAUAACCGUCCUAAGGUAGCGAAAUUCCUUGUCAGGUAAGUUCUGACCCGCACGAAUGGAGUAAUCAUGUGGGCACUGUCUCAGCGAGGGCCUCGGUGAAAGUGCAUUGGCGGUAAAGAUGCCGUCUGUCCAUACCAGGACGAGAAGACCCCAUGGAGCUUUACUACAGUUUUACAUUGACCCGGGUUUCAACAUGUGUAGCAUAGUUGGGAGGCUUCGAAGCAGAUACGCUAGUAUUUGUGGAGCCGCAACGUGAAAUACCAACCUUGUUGUGAUCUUGGUCUCACGUUUACCGUUAUCCGGUAAGCGGACCGUGUAUGAUGGGUAGUUUAACUGGGGCGGUUGCCUCCUAAAGAGUAACGGAGGCGUUCAAAGGUUGGCUAACUUCGGAUGGAAAUCGAAGUGAUAGUGUAUGCGCAUAAGCCAGCUUGACUGUGAGGAUUACAAUCCAAUCAGAGACGAAAGUCGGAGCAAGUGACCCGCUGUAUAGUACUUUGUACGAUGAAUGUGGGAUCGACAGCGCACACGGAUAAAAGUUACCCUGGGGAUAACAGGCUUAUAGCGCCCAAUAGUUCACAUAGACGGCGCUGUUUGGCACCUCGAUGUCGGCUCAUCACAUCCUGGGGCUGGAGAAGGUCCCAAGG
rnacentral:rRNA from 1 species